UACGUAGGUGGCAAGCGUUGUUCGGAAUUAUUGGGCGUAAAGAGCGUGUAGGCGGCCCGGUAAGUCCGCUGUGAAAGUCGGGGGCUCAACCCUCGAAUGCCGGUGGAUACUGUCGGGCUAGAGUGCGGAAGAGGCGAGUGGAAUUCCUGGUGUAGCGGUGAAAUGCGCAGAUAUCAGGAGGAACACCUAUUGCGAAGGCAGCUCGCUGGGACGUAACUGACGCUGAGACGCGAAAGCGUGGGGAGCAAACAGG
rnacentral:rRNA from 1 species